rnacentral:rRNA from 1 species
GUGGCAGGGGCGGCGGUAAGACGAAGGUGGCUAGCGUUGUUCGGUGUCACUGGGCUUAAAGCGUAUGUAGGCGGGACUGUAAGCGUCUUGUGAAAUCCCCCGGCUUAACCGGGGAAUUGCUUGGCGAACUAUAGUCCUUGAGGCAAGUAGGGGUGCAUGGAACUCUUGGUGGAGCGGUGGAAUGCGUAGAUAUCAAGAGGAACGCCGAUGGAGAAAUCAGUGCACUGGGCUUGUCCUGACGCUGAGAUACGAAAGCGUGGGGAGCGAACGGGAUUAGAUACCCCGGUAGUCCACGCCGUAAACGAUGUCUACUAGAUUGCGGGAGUUCUGACACUCUCGCGAUCGGAGCAAAAGUGUUAAGUAGACCGCCUGGGGAGUACGGUCGCAAGGCUAAAACUCAAAGGAAUUGACGGGGGCUCACACAAGCGGUGGAGCAUGUGGAUUAAUUCGAAGCAACGCGCAGAACCUUACCUGGGUUUGACAUGCUUGGAUGCCAAUCUGGAAACAGAGGAAGCUACCUUCGGGUGAAACUUGCACAGGUGCUGCAUGGCUGUCGUCAGCUUCGUGUCGUGAGAUGUCGGGUUAAGUCCUUUAACGAGCGAAACCCUUGCCCGUUAGUUGCCAGCGAGUAAUGUCGGGGACUCUAACGGGACUGCCGGUGUUAACCGGAGGAAGGUGGGGACGACGUCAAGUCAUCAUGGCCUUUAUGCCCAGGCUUCACACGUGCUACAAUGGCAACGACAGAGCGACGCAAUACCGCGAGGUGGAGCAAAUCGCAAAAACGUUGCCCCAGUUCGGAUUGCAGGCUGACAACUCGCCUGCAUGAAGUUGGAAUCGCUAGUAAUCGCGUAUCAGCUAUGACGCGGUGAAUAUGUUCCUGAGCCUUGUACACACCGCCCGUCAAGUCACGGAAGUUGGGAGUACCCGAAGUCGGAUUACUAACCUUUUAUUAGGAAGUGUUUGCCGACGGUAAGCCCGAUGACUGGGACUAAGUCGUAACAAGGUAACC